GAGCCCAUAGUAUAGCCUGGAUACAUCAAAUCCAUGAGAUGUGUGGAUUUGCCCGUAGGGCAAAUAGUACAACACCCUCCUAAGGUGUGAGCCGGGGUUCGAAUCCCCGUGGGCUCG
rnacentral:tRNA from 1 species